rnacentral:pre_miRNA from 1 species
GAGUUGGGUAGUCGUUGCAUUUCCACGAUGCCACGCGACAGUUCGUGGCCAAUGAUUUGUGAAAAUGCACCAACUAUCUGACAU